AGUCGAACGCGAAAGCGGGGCAACCCGCAAGUAGAGUGGCGAACGGGUGAGUAAUACAUCGGAACAUUUCCAGUAGCGGGGGAUAACCUGUCGAAAGAUAGGCUAAUACCGCAUACGCCCCACGGGGGAAAGCGGAGGACCGCAAGGCUUCGCACUAUUGGAGUGGCCGAUGUCGGAUUAGCUAGUUGGCGGGGUAAAAGCCCACCAAGGCUACGAUCCGUAGCUGGUCUGAGAGGACGAUCAGCCACACUGGAACUGAGACACGGUCCAGACUCCUACGGGAGGCAGCAGUGGGGAAUUUUGGACAAUGGGCGCAAGCCUGAUCCAGCCAUGCCGCGUGAGUGAAGAAGGCCUUCGGGUUGUAAAGCUCUUUCGGUGGGGACGAAAAGGUUCGUGCUAAUACCACGGACUAAUGACGGUACCCGAAGAAGAAGCACCGGCUAACUACGUGCCAGCAGCCGCGGUAAUACGUAGGGUGCAGGCGUUAAUCGGAGUUACUGGGCGUAAAGCGUGCGCAGGCGGUUUGUUAAGACAGAUGUGAAAUCCCCGGGCUUAACCUGGGAACUGCGUUUGUAACUGGCAAGCUAGAGUGUGGCAGAGGGGGGUGGAAUUCCAAGUGUAGCAGUGAAAUGCGUAGAUAUUUGGAGGAACACCGAUGGCGAAGGCAGCCCCCUGGGCUAACACUGACGCUCAUGCACGAAAGCGUGGGGAGCAAACAGGAUUAGAUACCCUGGUAGUCCACGCCCUAAACUAUGUCAACUGGUUGUCGGGGAAGCAAUUCCUUGGUAACGAAGCUAACGCGUGAAGUUGA
rnacentral:rRNA from 1 species